rnacentral:rRNA from 1 species
CGGUAAUUCCAGCUCCAAUAGCGUAUACUAAAGUUGUUGCAGUUAAAAAGCUCGUAGUUGGAUUUCUGCGGGGACGGAGCGGCCGGACGCAACUUGCGUCUCGAGCUAGCGCUUUCCCCGCAUCCUGCCGCGAACCGUGCUACCAUUAGUUUGGUGGCGCUGGGGAUCGGCUCGAUUACUUUGAGAAAAAUAGAGUGUUCAAAGCAGGCCACACGCCUUGAAUAAGUUAGCAUGGAAUAAUGACUAAGGACUUCGGUUCUAUUUUGUUGGUGUUCGGGACUGAAGUAAUGAUUGAUAGGGACAGUUGGGGCGGUCUGUAUUCCAAAGCGAGAGGUGAAAUUCUUAGACCUUCGGAAGACAAACAGCUGCGAAAGCGUUCCGCAAGGAUGUUCCCUUUGAUCAAGAACGAAAGUUGGGGGAUCGAAGACGAUCAGAUACCGUCGUAGUCUCAACUAUAAACUAUACCAGCUAGGGAUCGGUCAACGUUUAAUUAUUCGACUUGAUCGGCACCUUAUGAGAAAUCAAAGCAUCUGGGUUCCGGGGGGAGUAUGGUCGCAAGGCUGAAACUUAAAGGAAUUGACGGAAGGGCACCACCAGCCGUGGAGCCUGUGGCUUAAUUUGACUCAACACGGGAAAACUUACCAGGUCCAGACAUAGUAAGGAUUGACAGAUUGAUAGCUCUUUCUUGAUUCUGUGGGUGGUGGUGCAUGGCCGUUCUUAGUUGGUGGAGUGAUUUGUCUGGUUAAUUCCGUUAACGAACGAGACCCCAGCCUGCUAAAUAGCGCGGCUGAGCUUUGCUCGGUGCGAGCUUCUUAGAGGGACUAUGAUGCGCGAUAGCACAUGGAAGUUUGGGGCAAUAACAGGUCUGUGAUGCCCUUAGAUGUUCUGGGCCGCACACGGGCUACACUGGCGCCUGCAACGAGCAUAUCAGCUGGCCCGAGAGGGUCUUGGCUAAUCUUUUGAACCGGCGCCGUGCUUGGGAUUGACCUUUGCAAUUGUUGGUCAUGCAACGAGGAAUGCCUUGUAAACGCGAGUCAUCAGCUCGCAUUGAAUACGUCCCUGCCCUUUCUACACACCGCCCGUCGCUCCUACCGAUGAAUGUUCCGAUGAAAUUUUCGGAGAGCGCCAGAGAACGGGGCUCUGCCUUGCAGAUCUGGAGGCUCAAAGUCACUUAAAUCUGAACAUUUCGAGGAAGGAGAAGUCGUAACAAGGUAGCCG